GCCCGUUUGGCUCAGUGGUAGAGCGUGUCGCCAGUGCCGGUCCCCUAAGAAUUCCUUCCUAAGAAAUUCCUUCCGAACAGCGUCUGGUUAACGGCAAGAUCAUCAGUUCGACUCUGACAAUGGGUG